rnacentral:misc_RNA from 1 species
GAUGAAGAACGUAGCGAAAUGCGAUAAGUAGUGUGAAUUGCAGAAUUCAGUGAAUCAUCGAAUCUUUGAACGCACAUUGCGCCCCUUGGUAUUCCAUGGGGCAUGCCUGUUCGAGCGUCAUUUGUACCUUCAAGCUUUGCUUGGUGUUGGGUGUUUGUCUCGCCUUUGCGUGUAGACUCGCCUUAAAAUAAUUGGCAGCCGGCGUAUUGAUUUCGGAGCGCAGUACACCUCGCGCUUUGCACUCAUAACGACAGCGUCCAAAAGUACAUUUUACACUCUUGACCUCGGAUCAGGUAGGGAUACCCGCUGAACUUAAGCAUAUCAAUAAGCGGAGGA